CCUGUAGCCUUGCUGCAGCAAGCCUCCAUCUUGCGGUCUCUCUGUGUGGAACAAGAGAGGAUUGGUGUGGAGGAAAUUCUUUGUGGGUUUCUUCAUUUUUGUGUGGAUUUUGUAAAAGAAGUCAUCAUCUGUGUAGAAGAUGUAAAACCUGGGUGACCUAUCAACAGCACCUCAAGAGUCUGGAGAGGUACCACCAAUGAUGCCUCCAGAAGAUCCUUUUCAUCCUUUCUCCAGCUCCAGGCAAGUCUCUUAAAGGAGCCUGGAGUGUCUGUGCCGUGCUUCUAAGAAAGUAGCCGGCAUUGUUAUCAGUAGAAGCAGGGUUAAUUGGGCUACUGGAAUCAUUCAGCAGUGAAGAAGAGAAUUCUUCCGAAGAAGGAGAAUGAACAACUUGUGCAGUUGCUAUCUGCGGCGGCGAUAUUACCACUGCCUGCAUAUUCUGAGAAGGGGGAGCAGGGGGAGGAACUGGCUGCGGCUGUGGAAUGCUGCUAAAAAAAUCCACUAUGUCCUCAGCAAUCUCCUCCUCACUUUCAGCCUUAACUAAUUGGGGAUAAAGAGAAGCAGAGGGCUGUGCC